GAGUAAUGUCUGGGAAACUGCCUGAUGGAGGGGGAUAACUACUGGAAACGGUAGCUAAUACCGCAUAACGUCGCAAGACCAAAGAGGGGGACCUUCGGGCCUCUUGCCAUCGGAUGUGCCCAGAUGGGAUUAGCUAGUAGGUGGGGUAACGGCUCACCUAGGCGACGAUCCCUAGCUGGUCUGAGAGGAUGACCAGCCACACUGGAACUGAGACACGGUCCAGACUCCUACGGGAGGCAGCAGUGGGGAAUAUUGCACAAUGGGCGCAAGCCUGAUGCAGCCAUGCCGCGUGUAUGAAGAAGGCCUUCGGGUUGUAAAGUACUUUCAGCGGGGAGGAAGGGAGUAAAGUUAAUACCUUUGCUCAUUGACGUUACCCGCAGAAGAAGCACCGGCUAACUCCGUGCCAGCAGCCGCGGUAAUACGGAGGGUGCAAGCGUUAAUC
rnacentral:rRNA from 1 species